rnacentral:rRNA from 1 species
GGGGAAUAUUGCACAAUGGGGGCAACCCUGAUGCAGCGACGCCGCGUGAGCGAUGAAGCCCUUCGGGGCGUAAAGCUCCUUCGACCGGAACGAUAAUGACGGUACCGGGAGAAGAAGCUGCGGCUAACUACGUGCCAGCAGCCGCGGUAAUACGUAGGCAGCAAGCGUUGUUCGGAGUUACUGGGCGUAAAGAGUGCGUAGGCGGUUUUCUAAGUUCGGUGUGAAAUCUCCCGGCUUAACUGGGAGGGUGCGCCGAAGACUGGGAAGCUGGAGUGUGGGAAAGGCAGGCGGAAUUCCUGGUGUAGCGGUGAAAUGCGUAGAUAUCAGGAGGAACACCGGCGGUGUAGACGGCUUGCUAGACCAUAACUGACGCUGAGGCACGAAAGCGUGGGUAGCAAACA